UGGGUUGUGGUUCAGUGGUAAAGCACUUGCCUAGCAUGCAAGAGGCACUGGGUUCAAUUCUCGGCACCACAU
rfam:Ictidomys tridecemlineatus contig027371, whole genome shotgun sequence.